ensembl:rRNA 5S_rRNA 5S ribosomal RNA
GCCGGCAGCUAGCUUUUUGCAACUUUCACAUGGUUGCCCACUGAAGCUAAACAGGGCUGCGCCCGGUCAGUACCUUUAUGGGAGACCACAUGGGAAAGCUAUAGGUUGCUGCCGGAC